UUGUGGUGUGUUCUUCUUUAGUAUCCAAAAUCCAAUUAUCUUUCUUCCCACUUUGCUAAGACCAGUUCCGAGCUGAGGGUUUGAAGAGGAAGUUGCCUCAGAUUCAGAUCUCUAAUCUCUAUAAACUACAACUCAGAAGAGUGUUUAUUAACUGGUAUUCGUACUUGGUUUGAGCGGACUCAGAAAAAUACUAUAAGACUCAUGAUGAAAGCAUCAUCGGAGUCGAUUAACGAGCACUUGCUUACCAAAACAAUUAGAGGCAUGCAGAAUUCACAUCUAAUAGAGUACUCUACAUAGUGGGACGAUAACUGCAUAACCUAACUCACAGAUAAUUACUUUCUCAACUUCUUUCUUAAACCUGCUGGUAGGUUAUAUUGUAUAAAUGUUAGAUGUUUGAAAUGAUUAUUUCAGCUGUUCAUUUGUUGUGGAGUUCAUUCUUUUAGGACAUUGGAUUGUGUGUGUUGGAGAUGGUGGUGUGCAGAAGCUUUUAACCUUUCGAGUGUGAGGAUAGUUGAAUCCAGUCAGCAUAUGAAGAAAUUUUGGGGGUGAAUGUGAAGAUGAAUUUCUGAAGGGUGUUGGUUUGCAGUGUUACCAUCUUCACUGGGGUGUUAAAACACUUACGGCAUCUUAACUGAAAUCCAUCAAUUUAUGGAGGAAAUGGUUCUUUGAAAAACAAAGGUAUCUCGACAUCUCAUAUACUAAAGGUUAUUUUCAUUCAAUGUGGGCAAGUCAGUUGGUGCUGGAACAGUGGAACCCCUGUAACCUCAUUGGUGACUUGAGUCACUAAUAUAUGAAGCAGAAGCAAAUUACCAAUCAGCAAAUAUUUGCUACUGGUGAAGCAAUGAUAAGGAAAAGCUUUUUUCAGCAUUGCAGUGGUUACAAAACGCAACAAAAAGCUAACAGAUGGUGUAAUUGGUGAAGUUUUAUGAUCUGCGCAGGAAGCUAUCAUUUUGCCUCUGUGGGUUGCACAUGCUGCUCGUGCUUGGAGUUUGAGAUUAUAUACGCUGCAAUGUGGAUGCCAUGGCUGGUGAAGUGUUGACUGCUUCUGAGUGUGUGCAAUUCAGAAAAGAACUUGUGAAUAGAAAGGCCAAUGGAACUUCAUGCUUGAGUUGGACUUUGUGUCGUUCAAUGCUUAAUUUCCUCGCCCCGCACUAUCAAAAUCCAUUGGCAAUGGUGUGGACCGACACCUUUCUGCGAAAAUGUCUCAUGACAGAGAUAGCAUGCACCCCUUACUUGAUAUGCUCAAAGCACACAACUACCGUCAAAAGGUGUUAGGAGGAUGGCAAAAGCAUAAGUAUCUUCAAUAAACUGUUUUUCACAGAUUCAGUUAGAUGAAUUCUUCUCUAGAACCGCUGCAAGGAUUCUGGCUGUAGAUAUGCCUCCGUUUAUGCAAACCCAGGCUGUUUGGUCGCGCUUCUAAUGCUUACAAUGACCGAGACAACUCCACAGGCACUUGCUUACCCUCAAGAAGGAGUUUGAUGAAGAGUAUGGAGCCGCAUGUUGGAACAAGUUUUGGGUCAUUUGUAACUCGCUCUGUUGGAGGCUUUUUUGUACUUCUCAUUACACUAUUGUAGUAGUAGGACAACAAUAAAUUUUUUUGCUCGAUUUCCCAAACAAAGUCUGUCUCCUGAGUUUUU